rnacentral:rRNA from 1 species
CCUACGGGAGGCAGCAGUGAGGAAUAUUGGUCAAUGGACGAAACUCUGAACCAGCCAAGUAGCGUGAAGGAUGACUGCCCUAUGGGUUGUAAACUUCUUUUAUAUAGGAAUAAAAUGUUCCACGUGUGGGAUUUUGUAUGUACCAUAUGAAUAAGGAUCGGCUAACUCCGUGCCAGCAGCCGCGGUAAUACGGAGGGUCCGAGCGUUAUCCGGAUUUAUUGGGUUUAAAGGGAGCGUAGGUGGAUUGUAAAGUCAGUUGUGAAAGUUUGCGGCUCAACCGUAAAAUUGCAGUUGAAACUGGCAGUCUUGAGUACAGGAGAGGUGGGCGGAAUUCGUGGUGUAGCGGUGAAAUGCUUAGAUAUCACGAAGAACUCCGAUUGCGAAGGCAGCUUACUGGACUGCAACUGACACUGAGGCUCGAAAGUGUGGGUAUCAAACAGGAUUAGAUACCCUGGUAGUC